UUUAUAUGAGAGUUUGAUCCUGGCUCAGGACGAACGCUGGCGGCGUGCCUAAUACAUGCAAGUAGGACGCACAGUCUA
rnacentral:rRNA from 1 species